AAUUCAUGAGUUGGGCAUUGCAUCAACAAUACUUUAAACCUCAUCCAUGACUCAUGAAAAAGUUCACCUUCCAUCUAUUUGAAGGUUAGGACGCUAUCCCUGAACCU